rnacentral:lncRNA from 1 species
GGUGUGUUGGUGGAUGGGUAGAUAAAUGGAUGGAUGGGUGGAUGGGAUGGAUGGAUGGAUGAAUGGAUGGGUGAAUGGAUUGGCAGAUGGAUGGACAGAUGAUGGAUAGAUGGAUGGAUAGGUGGAUGGACUGAUAGAUGGAUAGGAUGGAAGGGUGGCUAGAUGAAUCGAUGGGUGGAUGGAUGCAUGGACAGAUGGAUGAGUGCACGGAUGGAUGGUAGUGGGUGGAUGAGUGAGUGGGUGGGCAGAUGAGUAGAUGGAUUAAUGGGCUCAUGAAAGUGUGGGUGGGCUGAAGAACAGACAGAUGGGUAAGUGGGAGGGUGAGCAGGUAGACGGAUGGACAGGGGAUGAAGGAUGGAUAAGUGAUUGUGGCUGGGUGGGUGGGUGGACAGGUGAACAGCAACAGCACCAGGUGUAUCUGACUUCCAACUCAAGUCCCUCGUCAGGGCUGAGUGCUCCACGGCUGCUCCGUAGAUGUCUUCAGCCUCAGGGCCUGAUCAUGGCUGGAAAGGAGGCCCUGGGGACCAGAAAUGGAGGGCAGGACCCUCUCACCCCAUGCAGGGAUUCAUGGAUCCACCUCUGCCCCCUCACUUCGCAUGAUCAGAGCCUCUCAACUUCAUGCCCCACUGCACCGGCCUCACCUUCUCCAGGUAGUUAAACUCCAUCGCAAUCUCCCGGAAGAAGAAGUAGACAUGGCUGCCCCACUCCACCGCAUGGACAAAGUAAGGCUCUGC